GACGAACGCUGGCGGCGUGCUUAACACAUGCAAGUCGAACGGAAAGGCGCUGCUUUUGCGGGGUGCUCGAGUGGCGAACGGGUGAGUAACACGUGAGUAACCUGCCCUUGACUUUGGGAUAACUUCAGGAAACUGGGGCUAAUACAGGAGAGGAGCUCUUGCUGCACGGUGGGGGUUGGAAAGAUUCGGCGGUUGGGGAUGGACUCGCGGCUUAUCAGCUGGUUGGUGGGGUAGUGGCUGACCAAGGUUUUGACGGGUAGCCGGCCUGAGAGGGUGGACGGCGACAUUGGGACUGCGGUAGGGCGCAGACGCCUAUGUGAGGCAACGGGGGAGAGUAUUGCGGAGUGGGCGGGCGCCUGAUACGACAACGCCGCGUGCGGGAUGACGUCCUUCGAGGUGUAAACCGCUUUCGCCUGUGACGAAGCGUGAGUGACGGUAAUGGGUAAGAAAGCACCGGCUAACUACGUG
rnacentral:rRNA from 1 species